rnacentral:rRNA from 1 species
UACCAGCUCUCCGAGUGGUAGGGAUGAUUAUUGGGCUUAAAGCGUCCGUAGCCGGCUUAGCAAGUCUCCUGUUAAAUUCAGCGACCUAAUCGUUGAGCCGCGGGAGACACUACUAGGCUAGGAGGCGGGAGAGGCCGACGGUAUUCUCGGGGUAGGGGUGAAAUCCUAUAAUCCCGGGAGGACCACCAGUGGCGAAGGCUGUCGGCUAGAACGCGCUCGACGGUGAGGGACGAAAGCUGGGGGAGCGAACCGGAUUAGAUACCCGGGUAGUCCCAGCUGUAAACGAUGCGGACUAGGUGUUGGGGUGGCUACGAGCCACUUCAGUGCCGCAGGGAAGCCAUUAAGCCCGCCGCCUGGGGAGUACGGCCGCAAGGCUGAAACUUAAAGGAAUUGGCGGGGGAGCACCACAAGGCGUGAAGCUUGCGGUUC